rnacentral:rRNA from 1 species
AUUGAACGCUGGCGGCAUGCUUUACACAUGCAAGUCGAACGGUAACAGGCCUUCGGGUGCUGACGAGUGGCGCACGGGUGAGUAAUGCAUCGGAACGUACCCAGAGGUGGGGGAUAACGCAGCGAAAGCUGUGCUAAUACCGCAUGUGAUCUGAGGAUGAAAGCGGGGGACCGAGCAGCAAUGUUUGGCCUCGCGCCUUUGGAGCGGCCGAUGUCGGAUUAGCUAGUUGGUGGGGUAAAGGCCUACCAAGGCGACGAUCCGUAGCUGGUCUGAGAGGACGACCAGCCACACUGGGACUGAGACACGGCCCAGACUCCUACGGGAGGCAGCAGUGGGGAAUUUUGGACAGUGGGCGCAAGCCUGAUCCAGCAAUGCCGCGUGCGGGAAGAAGGCCUUCGGGUUGUAAACCGCUUUUGGCAGGAACGAAACGGUGUCCGCUAAUACCGGGCGCUAAUGACGGUACCUGCAGAAUAAGCACCGGCUAACUACGU